rnacentral:rRNA from 1 species
AGCUAGAAUUGCCGUAACAAGGUUUCUGUAGGUGAACCUGCAGAAGGAUCAUU